AGAGUUUGAUCCUGGCUCAGGACGAACGCUGGCGGCGUGCCUAAUACAUGCAAGUCGAGCGAGUCUGCCUUGAAGAUCGGAGUGCUUGCACUCUGUGAAACAAGAUACAGGCUAGCGGCGGACGGGUGAGUAACACGUGGGUAACCUGCCCAAGAGAUCGGGAUAACACCUGGAAACAGAUGCUAAUACCGGAUAACAACAGAUGAUGCCUAUCAACUGUUUAAAAGAUGGUUCUGCUAUCACUCUUGGAUGGACCUGCGGUGCAUUAGCUAGUUGGUAGGGUAACGGCCUACCAAGGCGAUGAUGCAUAGCCGAGUUGAGAGACUGAUCGGCCACAUUGGGACUGAGACACGGCCCAAACUCCUACGGGAGGCAGCAGUAGGGAAUCUUCCACAAUGGACGCAAGUCUGAUGGAGCAACGCCGCGUGAGUGAAGAAGGGUUUCGGCUCGUAAAGCUCUGUUGUUGGUGAAGAAGGACAGGGGUAGUAACUGACCUUUGUUUGACGGUAAUCAAUUAGAAAGUCACGGCUAACUACGUGCCAGCCGCCGCGGUAA
rnacentral:rRNA from 1 species